rnacentral:lncRNA from 1 species
GUUACAAUAAACAGGCACAAGAUGAUUAUGAACACACAGUCCGGACCUCGGUAUUUACAGACAACAGACACCACCUCGGUUCCUUUGAGAGACCUCCUGGCCAUGAUGUGUCAUGCAUGCAUUUCAGAAGACUGAUGGUCAAAGAGCGAGUCCUGCUGUGAUUUCAAAUGGCAGUCUCAGGAAGGGCUGGGAUUCAAAGACGGGAGCCCAGUUUUGAGAUAUCAGACUCCUUACUCAGGAAAUUUAACCUCCUUGGCCUGUUCUUCAAAACUUCUUGGUUUCUGGAAUCUCCCUGAAAUCUGUGGAAGCCACAGGUGCCCAGCGCAUUUGUAAAACUAGACCACAUGUUACUCCAUUAAUUUUCAUACAAAAAUUUAAGCCCCUGUUUUUCCAAUACUCUGUCUGCAGUUCAGCUGGUAUAAGUGUUGGAGCCAAGGGCAGAGCAAUUCUAUGGACUUGUCAGUUGCUCAGAUGAAUGUAUUUCAAUUUCUAGCUUAUUGUGGUGUAUUUUUUUUCCUAGUGAUAAAACACCAGCACCAACGAAUGAAGAAUUCAAGGAAAGUUUCUCGCAUAGCUUAGCUACUGAUUUUAAGUAGCUAGACACAUGGUUUGUUUGAACACGAAUGAACACAGCUUUGGUUUACAUAAGGAAUAUCUAAUAUCUAACUUGACGAGCAAGUGAAAUAUUUUUGUACCAGAACAGCACAAAACAGCACUGCCCAUAAACAGUGAGCUGCAUUUAUAAUGAACUUAGCUGUGCUUUGAGAAAGCAAUAUCUGGAGGGUAUUUGUACUUAAUGAGGCAGGGGACAAUGAGUUAAAAGAACAAAAUUCCCACAGUAGGGGAAAAAUAAAAAUUAAACUGAAACUGGGAGUAAAGCGUAUGGCUCCUUACAAAGAAGUCAGAGCAACUUCUGUCAGAGCUCUACUGUCUGAAUUGACAAACAAAAUCACGCUAAUAGAUGAUAAAAACAUUAAGAAAUCUUCUACAAUCACAGUAUUUCUGCUGUUACAUCACAAGUCUCACAGAACAGCUUUGCAAAUAAAAGUAUAUAGACU